rnacentral:tRNA from 1 species
GUGUCUGUAGCCUAGUGGUAAAAGGCAGCACUCUAGAUGCUGAGGUUGUGGGUUCACAUCCCACCAGACACA